rnacentral:antisense_RNA from 2 species
CUUCACCGAGCCGAGCCGCAGCGGCCGUUCCGGCGAGCGCCCCUGCCCGUAGGUGGCGAGCAGCGCCUGGGCCUC